GAUGGGGAAGGUACAUAUGAUGACUAAACUGCCUUAAAGAGUGAGACAUUGGAUAUGCACUAUGGUGCUUACACCCAAGAGUUUUUGUUCUGUGAAAAAGUCAAGGAGACGCUAGGAAAUUCUGGUUUAUACCAAGAAUAACUUAAAUGCCUGAACAUGGUGGUGAUAGUAUGGAAAGCCAGUUCGAAGAAUUAGCACAAAAUCCUGAUAUACUAUCAUUGCAACUCCUGGUUCAUCACACAUUUACAACAACUGGAUCAGAUGGUGCCUUCAAUUUUGCGACAAGGAUAGAAAACAGAGA